GAGACACCCUUAUGGUGCAGGGCUUGCUUCAGUGGGGCUUUGGUGCUCACUGAGUCUGCCCCCUGGGUGUGUCUUU
rnacentral:pre_miRNA from 1 species